UACAGAGGUCUCAACCGUUGUUCGGAUUCAUUGGGCGUAAAGGGUGCGUAGGCGGCGGGGUAAGUCAGGUGUGAAAUCUCGGGGCUCAACCCCGAAACUGCACUUGAUACUGCCUCGCUUGAGUACUGGAGAGGAGACUGGAAUUUACGGUGUAGCAGUGAAAUGCGUAGAUAUCGUAAGGAAGACCAGUGGCGAAGGCGAGUCUCUGGACAGUUCCUGACACUGAGACACGAAGGCCAGGGGAGCAAACGGG
rnacentral:rRNA from 1 species